rnacentral:snRNA from 2 species
AGCUUUGUGCAGUGGCAGUAAGGUAGCCAAUGAGGUUUAUUUGAGGCGCAAUUAUUGCUAAUUGAAACAGAUUCGUAGUGCACAGAGAGUGGGAUUUGUAGUUAACUACAUCUAGAUUUUUAACUCCCCACCCCACUGUUUACCAGUUGGAUAAACUUGGG